UCUUUCUUUUCUCCCCUCCUUUUCCUCCCUCCUUCUGGUUGCUCUCUACAGAGAUCAAACUUGCUUGAUUUGGAAGAUUGCCAUCAAAGAAAAGCAAAGCACACUCAGAGCAACUCAUUGUAUUGUUACA
rnacentral:ribozyme from 1 species